rnacentral:rRNA from 1 species
AUUGAACGCUGGCGGCAUGCUUUACACAUGCAAGUCGAACGGCAGCACAAACUUCGGUUUGGUGGCGAGUGGCGAACGGGUGAGUAAUGCAUCGGAACGUGUCCUGAAGUGGGGGAUAACGCAUCGAAAGAUGCGCUAAUACCGCAUAAUCUCUGAGGAGAAAAGUGGGGGAUCGAAAGACCUCAUGCUUUUGGAGCGGCCGAUGUCUGAUUAGCUAGUUGGUAGGGUAAUGGCCUACCAAGGCGACGAUCAGUAGUUGGUCUGAGAGGAUGGCCAGCCACACUGGGACUGAGACACGGCCCAGACUCCUACGGGAGGCAGCAGUGGGGAAUUUUGGACAAUGGGCGCAAGCCUGAUCCAGCAAUGCCGCGUGAGUGAAGAAGGCC